rnacentral:rRNA from 1 species
GAGUUUGAUCCUGGCUCAGAACGAACGCUGGCGGCAUGCCUAACACAUGCAAGUCGAACGAGACCUUCGGGUCUAGUGGCGCACGGGUGCGUAACGCGUGGGAACCUGCCCUUAGGUUCGGAAUAACUCAGAGAAAUUUGAGCUAAUACCGGAUAAUGUCUUCGGACCAAAGAUUUAUCGCCUUUGGAUGGGCCCGCGUUGGAUUAGCUAGUUGGUGGGGUAAAGGCCUACCAAGGCGACGAUCCAUAGCUGGUCUGAGAGGAUGAUCAGCCACACUGGGACUGAGACACGGCCCAGACUCCUACGGGAGGCAGCAGUGGGGAAUAUUGGACAAUGGGCGAAAGCCUGAUCCAGCAAUGCCGCGUGAGUGAUGAAGGCCUUAGGGUUGUAAAGCUCUUUUACCCGAGAUGAUAAUGACAGUAUCGGGAGAAUAAGCUCCGGCUAACUCCGUGCCAGCAGCCGCGGUAAA